ensembl:snoRNA SNORD16 Small nucleolar RNA SNORD16
UGCCAUGAUGUCGUAAUUUGCGCCUUACCCUGUGCCCAGGGACAGUUGCCUGCUGUCAGAAUCCUGGCACGGGUGGUUGACGACCCAUUAAUGCUGAGCA